AUCAUGCUGUCCUUCCAUAGAAGGUUUAUUAAAUUCCACCGCCGUGGACGGUGGGCAUUGCCAACUUUCAGAACCUUCUUCUCCGAGCAAUCUCUUGUCAAAACCAGAGGAGGAUAUAAAGACAAGUGAGGAACAGUAUGUGGUAGAUACGUUGCUCAUUAAACUCGCCGACUCUUCAAUUUCAAUGGCGAUACAAACCGACGUUUGGUUUCAUCAGGUUUUCCUAUCAUCCUCAAUGUUCUAUUCAUCUGUUUGUAUAGCGUUUAUAAUACGUAGAUAAAGUACGAUUGAUACUUUGAUAUAUAGAUUUAAAUCUGUCGUCAAUAAGAACAUUUGUAGGUUGAUAUAUUUAAAGAUCUCGCAAAUGGCAAUUUGUUUUUGGAUCAGUUAGAGGCUAAUUGAAAUUUCGCUUAAUUAUUCAUACACAAUUGUUUACAUUAUAUCUUUUGUAAUUAAGUGUUUGAUUUUCACCUACGAUUAAUUAAAUAUUUCAGAAGCGACCUAUUUUUAAUCA